CCUACGGGAGGCAGCAGUGGGGAAUCUUGCGCAAUGGGCGAAAGCCUGACGCAGCCAUGCCGCGUGAAUGAUGAAGGUCUUAGGAUUGUAAAAUUCUUUCACCGGGGACGAUAAUGACGGUACCCGGAGAAGAAGCCCCGGCUAACUUCGUGCCAGCAGCCGCGGUAAUACGAAGGGGGCUAGCGUUGCUCGGAAUUACUGGGCGUAAAGGGAGCGUAGGCGGAUAGUUUAGUCAGAGGUGAAAGCCCAGGGCUCAACCUUGGAAUUGCCUUUGAUACUGGCUAUCUUGAGUACGGAAGAGGUAUGUGGAACUCCGAGUGUAGAGGUGAAAUUCGUAGAUAUUCGGAAGAACACCAGUGGCGAAGGCGACAUACUGGUCCGUUACUGACGCUGAGGCUCGAAAGCGUGGGGAGCAAACAGGAUUAGAUACCCUGGUAGUCCACGCUGUAAACGAUGAGUGCUAGUUGUCGGCAUGCAUGCAUGUCGGUGACGCAGCUAACGCAUUAAGCACUCCGCCUGGGGAGUACGGUCGCAAGAUUAAAACUCAAAGANAGUGCGNGNGAGAGCGACGACGACGACGACGGAGGAG
rnacentral:rRNA from 1 species